GGCGGUUUGGCCGAGUGGUUAAGGCGAUUGCCUCGAAUGAACUAAGUUUAAUUACAGUUUCAUUAUAGCAAUUCCGUUCGCGGGCGCAGGUUCGAAUCCUGCAGCCGUCG
rnacentral:tRNA from 1 species